rnacentral:misc_RNA from 1 species
GAUGAAGAACGUAGCGAAAUGCGAUAAGUAGUGCGAAUUGCAGAAUUCAGUGAAUCAUCGAAUCUUUGAACGCACAUUGCGCCCCUUGGUAUUCCAUGGGGCAUGCCUGUUCGAGCGUCAUUUGUACCUUCAAGCUUUGCUUGGUGUUGGGUGUUUGUCCCGAGGGACUCGCCUUAAAGUAAUUGGCAGCCAGUGUUUGGUUUUGAAGCGCAGCACAAGUCGCGAUUCAAGGCUACACGCCCGCUUCCACAAGCCUUUUUUCACUUUUGACCUCGGAUCAGGUAGGGAUACCCGCUGAACUUAAGCAUAUCAAUAAGCGGAGGA